rnacentral:rRNA from 1 species
UUUAAAUUAUUUAUUUUAACAUAAAUUUAUAUGUAAGUUUUUGCAAAUAAUAUUUUCUAAAUGAUUAAUAGUUUAUAAGCAGUAAAUUGUUUUAUUGAAAUUAAGGUAAUUUAGAUUUGGUUAAUGUUAUUAGAAUUGGAAAAAGCUGUGCCAGCAUCCGCGGUUAUACAGCAAAUUCAAAUAAAUAUUAUUGGUUCUAAAGUAAUAACUGUUUUUUUAUGUAUAAUUUAAUAUAUUUUGAGGUGAAAUUUAGAUAUUUAAUAAGUACAUUAUCGGGUAGCAGGAAAUUAAUUAUUAAAAUGAAAAUGUAAACUAGGAUUAGAUACCCUAUUAUUUUUAUUGUAAAGUUGGUGAACUAAAGUAUUAAUAGAUAAAUCUUUAAACUUAAAGAAUUUGGCGGUAUUAUAGUCUAUUUAGAGGAAUCUGUUAUGUGAUCGAUAGUCCACGUUGAACCUUACUUAUAUUAUUUCUUGUAUAUCGCUGUUUAUGAAUAUAUUAAAAGAUUAUUUUCUGAAUAUUAAAAUAAUUAGUAUUUCAAGUCAAGGUGCAGUUAUGUAUAAGUUUAAUAAUGGAUUACAAUAAAAGUUAUUUAAAAUGGAUAAAAAUUGAAAAGUGAUUUGAAGGUGGAUUUAAAUGUAAUUUUAAAAAGAUUAUUAAAAUGAUUUAAAGCUCUAUAAUAUGUACACAUCGCCCGUCAUUCUCGUUAUUAAGAUGAGACAAGUCGUAACAAAGUAGGUGUACCGGAAGGUGUACCUAGAAAGGAAUUAUAUUUUAAAGU